AGACGGGGCGGAGGCUUGGCGUGGUGCGGGUCUCCUUUCUCCGGCUUGGGAAGGAGAAGCGCCCCCGGAGAAGAGGGCUGGCUGGGGGGUAGCAGCCCCUCACAGCGCCCCGUGGUCGGGAUAGGCCUCCGGAUGGCGCUCCAGGAGCUGGAGCGCGGUUUCUUCACCCGUUGCGAAAAAGCGCCUCUGGGUGGGUUGUGCGGCAGUGCGAAUGCCUGCCGUCGACCCGUGACAGAAAGCGAGGAGAGAUUGUGUCCUCCCUGGCCAAUAUAGGUAGGAUGAGUGUGAGUAGAAACUAGCCUGCUGUAAGUACACAGGUGGGGUUGGACUACAACUCCCGUCAUCUCUGAGUGCUGGUCCCUGCUGGCUAGGGAUGGUUGGGGUUUGUAGUACAACAACAUCUGGAAACCCGAGAUGGAGAAAGGUAAUAGGUACAUUCUUUGUUUCCCCUGGGCAGUGUGUAUGGAGCACCUGGGCUGCCCGGACGACAAGCCUCGCUGAUGUGGUCCGAAGGAAAGCAGAGCAAUACGUUUGGCACCAGUUUGGCUGCUGGAGUUGCCGGAAGGAGGUGUACAAGGUGCCAUCCAACUGCCUUAGGGAUUUGUGUAGACUUUUCUUCUCCUGAAGAUAUCCCACAAGGCAGUUCAGGUUUACGGUCGUUUCUUCUAGAUGGGCUACCUUCCCAAGUUGAUGACCCAUAUGUGCUCCUCACUUCCCUCUACAGCAGGCAUCCCCAACCUUUGGCCCUCCAGAUGUUUUGUACUACAAUUCCCAUCACCCCGAUCUGUUAGCUAGGAAUCAUGGGAGUUGUAGACUGAAACAUCUGGAGGGUUGGGGAUGCCAGCUCUACAGCAUGUGCAGUAUUGUUCUGUCUGCUCAAUCCUCCAGAGCCUGCCUUCACUCAUUAAGGAUUUGAUACCUAUCAGCUGCCCUCGCUUGGUUUAGCCAGCCAAUUGAAGCCAUUCCCUGGAUAUGGCUGCUGUCACAUUCUGAAAGCUUAUAGGAGCCACAGGUGAGAGCUGAGUGCAGGGGGGGAGGCGGGACCAAAAGUGAGCAAACUACUCCAGGAGGACCACAACAUGUCUCCUCCACCAGAGGUACUAACUCUCCCCUCACACUCCCAUCAAGCACAAUCAAGUGGGCAGCAUUUUGGAACUGCUGGUGAUGAUCUGAAUGGGUUAUCUGUUCAUAACAAUGAAUGCCCGUUGCAAAUGGAAGCCUGGCAGUUUCAAAGCGUAUAGCUUUUUUUUAAAAAAAAAAAUAUUUUACUAAUUAUGAGCAAGAUCAACACACUAAUUAGAUCAUUCUCUGGGGCAUCAGGAAGAAUCUCUGUGCAGAAUUGCCCAGGAAAACUACAUUGCUGGCUAACUGAGCUAGGAGAUUCAGUUCUACAGGCUGUUGUAAUACAUUCAGCUGCUAAGUAGCAGAUAUUCUGGCUGAACAGCAGGCAGCGGUUGUAAUGGUAGAGUAGAAUUGCUAGUAAGGCUGGAACAGACACCAUCACAUUUCUUGCAACAUGUGUGCUGGUGGCUUUGAGGUUUUAAGGCUCAAUGCAAUCCAUAAUGAAAUAUAUGUGGUUUGGGUGUAGACUUGCAAACUUUAUUUAGGCAAGAUUCCAUCUGAAGAGAGGGCAGAUUUGGCUAAACUGCCGUGGAAUCAAGCCCCAUAAUUUCUUCUUACAUAUUUUGAAGGCGGGGAGGGGAAAAACUAAUGUCAAAGGCCUACAUAAAAGAAAUAAUAAGGAUGGGAGAAUUUCUGGACACACUUUGUUGUAUAUGAUUAUGGUUAUGGCAAUAAAAAUAGUGAUUCAGAGAAUUACCAUUCAAGAAGUUCUUUUUUUUUACAUAUUUAUUUUGUCCCGGCAGCAAACGAUACAUCUUUAUAUAGAGCCUGUGGUUUGGUCUAAAUUGGUGUCUUGCCGAUGUAACGCAGGUCAUCAUAACCAGCUUAAAAUUCAUCUUUCAAAAUAUUACUAGGCUGUGUGGUUAAAGGGACAAAAUAAAAUCCCUCUCAAAUGGAAAGGAUUGUAGCAUAAUGGUGCAUUACAGUACCUUCCCAGGUUCAUUGUAGUUCGGAAUAUUUAUUAAAUUUUAAAUUGCUGUUAUUUUUUACCUAUGUCAUUUUAAUCUGCGAUAUUAAUGCUGUAUUCUUAGUUUUAGAUUUUGAUUUGUGUGGAAAUUGUUUUCCAUUUGGUUGUGUAUUUUUUUCAUGUGGUUUAUUUAUUGUUUAUGACUUUUGUAAUUAUGUAAAUCUUGUCAUGUUGUAAGCCGCCUUGAGCAUUGUUUUUAACUGUGGAAAAGUGGCAUGCAAAUAAAAAAUGAUGAUUUUUUUUGAG